rnacentral:rRNA from 1 species
UACGUAGGGCGCUAGCGUUGUCCGGAAUCAUUGGGCGUAAAGCGCGUGUAGGCGGUCCGGUAAGUCCGCUGUGAAAGUCGGGGGCUCAACCCUCGGAUGCCGGUGGAUACUGUCGGGCUUGAGGACGGAAGAGGCGAGUGGAAUUCCUGGUGUAGCGGUGAAAUGCGCAGAUAUCAGGAGGAACACCAAUUGCGAAGGCAGCUCGCUGGGACGUUACUGACGCUGAGACGCGAAAGCGUGGGGAGCGAACAGG